rnacentral:lncRNA from 1 species
AAAGUGGCAACGGCGGCCUCACUGGGCUCACCUUCAGGGGCAGCUGCUGCACUGCCUCGGCUGUGCUGCUGCAUGGCUAUGGUGGAGGGAACAAUCUUUUACCACUCGGGGGUGCCGUCCUGCCUGAUGGGUGAUGGAGAAACCCAGGGAAUGCAGGAGCCGCCCACGGGCCGGGCCAGGGUGAUUCCUCUCUAAUCAGUUCCCCGCCUUAUUGUUUCCCUGAAACUCGGGACCUUGGGGGCCUCCUCCAGAAGGCACUGGACAGUUGCUAGAGUUGCUGUUCCUCCUCUUGUGCUUUCUUUUCUGAGAGAUGCUGCCUGUAAUUAUUGACUUGCAUCCCAGCCCUCUCCCUCCACCUGAGGAAGUCGUUGAUUCCUGCGAAUGCAGGAGUCAGAGGGAGAAAAAUGGUAUGUUCUCAGAGCUCCAGCCAGCAGCUGAAGCCAGUGAGGCUGCCCAUCGCUGCAGCCCCUGCUCAGAUCCUCCCUCGAUUGCCUCAAGCUUGGGGGAUGGGCAGGGGGAUGGCCCUUCAGUGAUUGGCUCUGGAAGGCCUGUCUCCUCAGGCCUCUUUCUUCCCAGUUACUGACCAGUCUACCCCCCAGCCUCGAGCGCACUGAGGCAUUGUGGGCAGCCAGGCAGUUGGUUUGUUCAGACUUUUGGACUCAGGUUUCUGUUUCCUUGUCUGUGAAAUAAGAGGUUGGACCAGAUGAGUUCUUAGUUCUAUGAUUCCACGAAUGUCUUAGAAAGCAAAAUGCACAGAGCCAAAUUUCCUUUGCCAUGCCGAACGCCGGGGCAGCGGAGCCAGCAGUGUCGAUGCUGUAAAGCCCCAAGGAGAGUUCUAGACGGAAGGGCGCUGCUGUGUCCUGGUAAUGAUGUCAGGUGACUCAGACAGGUCUGGGACUCGAGAAGCUGGCUGUCUUGUCUGAACCUCCUUUGAAGUGGUGGUUUGCAACACUUUUACGAACUGGAGGUUGAACGAGAACAUGAAAGUCAUCUCAUUGGUAUGUUGUAUUUUCCCAAACACUCCAUUUCAAAUCAAAACAUGGAAACAACUGUCUUAUUUUAGGAUUAUGCUUUGUAUUUGAACAUGCUGCUUACCAUCUAUUAGCUGACGGGGCUCUGGGACGCUCAGAGAACGAGUGACUGAGGUUUCCAGUCCUAAGGAGGUUGCUUUCAGCUCAGUCCAGGGAAGGAGAUUUUAACAAGCUGAGCUGGCCUUUUGAGGUGAGGAAUUGCCCGUCAAAGAAAAGCUCAGUGCUUACCCUCCCAACUCCCCGAGGCUCUCCUGCCCCCGAGUCAGGGAGACCCCUCC